AUUGAACGCUGGCGGCAGGCCUAACACAUGCAAGUCGAACGAGUGGCGGACGGGUGAGUAAUGUCUGGGAAACUGCCCGAUGGAGGGGGAUAACUACUGGAAACGGUAGCUAAUACCGCAUACCAUCGGAUGUGCCCAGAUGGGAUGAGCUAGUAGGUGGGGUAACGACUCACCUAGGCGACGAUCCCUAGCUGGUCUGAGAGGAUGACCAGCGACAAUGGAACUGAGACACGGUCCAGACACCUGCGGGAGGCGACAGUGGGGAAUAUUGCACAAUGGGCGCAAACCUAGUGCAGCCAUGCCGCGUGUAUGAAGAAGGCCUUCGGGUUGUAGAGUACUUUCAGCGAGGAGGCGUUACUCGCAGAAGAAGCACCGGCUAACUCCGUGCCAGCCGACGCGGUAAUUC
rnacentral:rRNA from 1 species